GUCUAUGGCCAUGCCACCCUAAAUGUGCCCAAUCUCGUCUGACCUCAGAAGCUAAGCAGGGUCAGGCCUGGUUAGUACUUGGAUGGGAGACCACCUAGGAAGACCAGAUGCUGUUUUAU
rnacentral:rRNA from 1 species